rfam:Picea glauca, whole genome shotgun sequence.
AUGUAAUGUAAUUCCUAUAGUAUUAAUACAUCAGAUCUCAUUAUAAAUUUGCAGUUAUGCACGCUUAGGCUAGAGUAGUACUAGGAUGGGUGACCUCUGAGGAGGUCCUAGAGUUUUACAUG